rnacentral:lncRNA from 1 species
AUGUGGACCGAAUGUUCCCUUAUGUUUUGUAUUCUGCGUUCAUUUUCAGAGGCAGAGCCCCCUAAAAAGGAACCAGUAAUGAGAGCUAAGAGAGAGCGUGACAUGUGCAGGCCAGUUGACAAGCCAAAAAGGAGAGAGGCUGCAAGGAAAUUGGAAUUAGAAGCGGCGAUCAGGAAGAGAGAACUAAGACUUAAAAAGGAAGCGAAGGCCACAAAGGAAGAGUCUCAACAUGUAGAUGCUGGGGUGCCUGCACCUGCACCUGCACCUGCGCCAGUUCCCGCCUGUCAACCCACACCAGUCUACUGGCCAUCAUCAUCUCCUGGCUGGUAUUUGCAUCAUAUAUUCACAGACAAUCCAUUUCCACCUACAACUAUGACAGCUCAUCCAGCUCAGCCAUUUUACCAAGCUCCUCCAGCUUAUCAAGCUCCUCCAGGUUAUCAAGUUUAUCAAGCUCCUCCAGCUUAUCAAGCUCCUCCAGCUCAACCAGCACCAGCUCAACCAGCACCAGCUCAACCAGCUCAACCAACAACUCCAGUUCUACCGGCUGAACCAGCACCUGCACCAGCACCUGGACCUGCACCAGCUCCUGCACCAGCUCCAUUGACUCAAGAACCACAGGCUCCCAAAGAAAAGGCUGCCUCCACAAAGAAGGGUACGAACAUAUUGUGUUGA